rnacentral:rRNA from 1 species
AUUGAACGCUGGCGGCAUGCCUUACACAUGCAAGUCGAACGGUAACAGGUUAAGCUGACGAGUGGCGAACGGGUGAGUAAUGUAUCGGAACGUGCCCAGUCGUGGGGGAUAACUGCUCGAAAGAGCAGCUAAUACCGCAUACGACCUGAGGGUGAAAGCGGGGGAUCGCAAGACCUCGCGCGAUUGGAGCGGCCGAUAUCAGAUUAGGUAGUUGGUGAGGUAAAGGCUCACCAAGCCGACGAUCUGUAGCUGGACUGAGAGGACGACCAGCCACACUGGGACUGAGACACGGCCCAGCCUCCUACGGGGGGCAGCAGUGGGGAAUUUUGGACAAUGGGCGCAAGCCUGAUCCAGCCAUGCCGCGUGCGGGAAGAAGGCCUUCGGGUUGUAAACCGCUUCUGUCAGGGAAGAAAAGGUUCUGGCUAAUACCUGGGACUCAUGACGGUACCUGAAGAAUAAGCACCGGCUAACUACGUGCCAGCCGCCGCAGUAA